UGGGGAAUUUUGGACAAUGGGCGAAAGCCUGAUCCAGCGAUGCCGCGUGUGUGAAGAAGGCCUUCGGGUUGUAAAGCACUUUUGUCCGGAAAGAAAUCCUUGGCUCUAAUACAGUCGGGGGAUGACGGUACCGGAAGAAUAAGCACCGGCUAACUACGUGCCAGCAGCCGCGGUAAUACGUAGGGUGCAAGCGUUAAUCGGAAUUACUGGGCGUAAAGCGUGCGCAGGCGGUUUGCUAAGACCGAUGUGAAAUCCCCGGGCUCAACCUGGGAACUGCAUUGGUGACUGGCAGGCUAGAGUAUGGCAGAGGGGGGUAGAAUUCCACGUGUAGCAGUGAAAUGCGUAGAGAUGUGGAGGAAUACCGAUGGCGAAGGCAGCCCCCUGGGCCAAUACUGACGCUCAUGCACGAAAGCGUGGGGAGCAAAACAGGAUUAGAUACCCUGGUAGUCCACGCCCUAAACGAUGUCAACUAGUUGUUGGGGAUUCAUUUCCUAGUAACGUAGCUAACGCGUGAAGUUGACCGCCUGGGGAGUACGGUCGCAAGAUU
rnacentral:rRNA from 1 species